rnacentral:rRNA from 1 species
GUGGGGAAUAUUGGACAAUGGGCGAAAGCCCGAUCCAGCCAUGCCGCGUGUGUGAAGAAGGUCUUCGGAUUGUAAAGCACUUUAAGUUGGGAGGAAGGGCAGUAAGUUAAUACCUUGCUGUUUUGACGUUACCAACAGAAUAAGCACCGGCUAACUUCGUGCCAGCAGCCGCGGUAAUACGAAGGGUGCAAGCGUUAAUCGGAAUUACUGGGCGUAAAGCGCGCGUAGGUGGUUCAGCAAGUUGGAGGUGAAAUCCCCGGGCUCAACCUGGGAACUGCCUCCAAAACUACUGAGCUAGAGUACGGUAGAGGGUAGUGGAAUUUCCUGUGUAGCGGUGAAAAGCGUAGAUAUAGGAAGGAACACCAGUGGCGAAGGCGACUACCUGGACUGAUACUGACACUGAGGUGCGAAAGCGUGGGGAGCAAACAGGAUUAGAUACCCCGGUAGUCC